rnacentral:tRNA from 1 species
GGAGGGUAUCCGAAUUGGUGAGGAGCCACACUGGAGAUGUGGUGCCCCGAAAGGGGUUGCGGGUUCGAGUCCCGCACCCUCCG